rnacentral:rRNA from 1 species
UUAAGCGACUAAGCGUACACGGUGGAUGCCCUGGCAGUCAGAGGCGAUGAAGGACGUGCUAAUCUGCGAUAAGCGUCGGUAAGGUGAUAUGAACCGUUAUAACCGGCGAUUUCCGAAUGGGGAAACCCAGUGUGUUUCGACACACUAUCAUUAACUGAAUCCAUAGGUUAAUGAGGCGAACCGGGGGAACUGAAACAUCUAAGUACCCCGAGGAAAAGAAAUCAACCGAGAUUCCCCCAGUAGCGGCGAGCGAACGGGGAGGAGCCCAGAGUCUGAAUCAGUGUGUGUGUUAGUGGAAGCGUCUGGAAAGGCGCGCGAUACAGGGUGACAGCCCCGUACACAAAAAUGCACAUAUUGUGAGCUCGAUGAGUAGGGCGGGACACGUGGUAUCCUGUCUGAAUAUGGGGGGACCAUCCUCCAAGGCUAAAUACUCCUGACUGACCGAUAGUGAACCAGUACCGUGAGGGAAAGGCGAAAAGAACCCCGGCGAGGGGAGUGAAAAAGAACCUGAAACCGUGUACGUACAAGCAGUGGGAGCACGCUUAGGCGUGUGACUGCGUACCUUUUGUAUAAUGGGUCAGCGACUUAUAUUCUGUAGCAAGGUUAACCGAAUAGGGGAGCCGAAGGGAAACCGAGUCUUAACUGGGCGUUAAGUUGCAGGGUAUAGACCCGAAACCCGGUGAUCUAGCCAUGGGCAGGUUGAAGGUUGGGUAACACUAACUGGAGGACCGAACCGACUAAUGUUGAAAAAUUAGCGGAUGACUUGUGGCUGGGGGUGAAAGGCCAAUCAAACCGGGAGAUAGCUGGUUCUCCCCGAAAGCUAUUUAGGUAGCGCCUCGUGAACUCAUCUCCGGGGGUAGAGCACUGUUUCGGCAAGGGGGUCAUCCCGACUUACCAACCCGAUGCAAACUGCGAAUACCGGAGAAUGUUAUCACGGGAGACACACGGCGGGUGCUAACGUCCGUCGUGAAGAGGGAAACAACCCAGACCGCCAGCUAAGGUCCCAAAGUCAUGGUUAAGUGGGAAACGAUGUGGGAAGGCCCAGACAGCCAGGAUGUUGGCUUAGAAGCAGCCAUCAUUUAAAGAAAGCGUAAUAGCUCACUGGUCGAGUCGGCCUGCGCGGAAGAUGUAACGGGGCUAAACCAUGCACCGAAGCUGCGGCAGCGACGCUUAUGCGUUGUUGGGUAGGGGAGCGUUCUGUAAGCCUGCGAAGGUGUGCUGUGAGGCAUGCUGGAGGUAUCAGAAGUGCGAAUGCUGACAUAAGUAACGAUAAAGCGGGUGAAAAGCCCGCUCGCCGGAAGACCAAGGGUUCCUGUCCAACGUUAAUCGGGGCAGGGUGAGUCGACCCCUAAGGCGAGGCCGAAAGGCGUAGUCGAUGGGAAACAGGUUAAUAUUCCUGUACUUGGUGUUACUGCGAAGGGGGGACGGAGAAGGCUAUGUUGGCCGGGCGACGGUUGUCCCGGUUUAAGCGUGUAGGCUGGUUUUCCAGGCAAAUCCGGAAAAUCAAGGCUGAGGCGUGAUGACGAGGCACUACGGUGCUGAAGCAACAAAUGCCCUGCUUCCAGGAAAAGCCUCUAAGCAUCAGGUAACAUCAAAUCGUACCCCAAACCGACACAGGUGGUCAGGUAGAGAAUACCAAGGCGCUUGAGAGAACUCGGGUGAAGGAACUAGGCAAAAUGGUGCCGUAACUUCGGGAGAAGGCACGCUGAUAUGUAGGUGAAGCGACUUGCUCGUGGAGCUGAAAUCAGUCGAAGAUACCAGCUGGCUGCAACUGUUUAUUAAAAACACAGCACUGUGCAAACACGAAAGUGGACGUAUACGGUGUGACGCCUGCCCGGUGCCGGAAGGUUAAUUGAUGGGGUCAGCGCAAGCGAAGCUCUUGAUCGAAGCCCCGGUAAACGGCGGCCGUAACUAUAACGGUCCUAAGGUAGCGAAAUUCCUUGUCGGGUAAGUUCCGACCUGCACGAAUGGCGUAAUGAUGGCCAGGCUGUCUCCACCCGAGACUCAGUGAAAUUGAACUCGCUGUGAAGAUGCAGUGUACCCGCGGCAAGACGGAAAGACCCCGUGAACCUUUACUAUAGCUUGACACUGAACAUUGAGCCUUGAUGUGUAGGAUAGGUGGGAGGCUUUGAAGUGUGGACGCCAGUCUGCAUGGAGCCGACCUUGAAAUACCACCCUUUAAUGUUUGAUGUUCUAACGUUGACCCGUAAUCCGGGUUGCGGACAGUGUCUGGUGGGUAGUUUGACUGGGGCGGUCUCCUCCUAAAGAGUAACGGAGGAGCACGAAGGUUGGCUAAUCCUGGUCGGACAUCAGGAGGUUAGUGCAAUGGCAUAAGCCAGCUUGACUGCGAGCGUGACGGCGCGAGCAGGUGCGAAAGCAGGUCAUAGUGAUCCGGUGGUUCUGAAUGGAAGGGCCAUCGCUCAACGGAUAAAAGGUACUCCGGGGAUAACAGGCUGAUACCGCCCAAGAGUUCAUAUCGACGGCGGUGUUUGGCACCUCGAUGUCGGCUCAUCACAUCCUGGGGCUGAAGUAGGUCCCAAGGGUAUGGCUGUUCGCCAUUUAAAGUGGUACGCGAGCUGGGUUUAGAACGUCGUGAGACAGUUCGGUCCCUAUCUGCCGUGGGCGCUGGAGAACUGAGGGGGGCUGCUCCUAGUACGAGAGGACCGGAGUGGACGCAUCACUGGUGUUCGGGUUGUCAUGCCAAUGGCACUGCCCGGUAGCUAAAUGCGGAAGAGAUAAGUGCUGAAAGCAUCUAAGCACGAAACUUGCCCCGAGAUGAGUUCUCCCUGACCCUUUAAGGGUCCUGAAGGAACGUUGAAGACGACGACGUUGAUAGGCCGGGUGUGUAAGCGCAGCGAUGCGUUGAGCUAACCGGUACUAAUGAACCGUGAGGCUUAACCUU